GACCCGACCAGUCGGCAUACUACACACGAACCACCAGCCAUGGACACCAACUGGGGCGUUGGCGUCGGCGUUGACCUGAACGCCCCGCCGCCCACCGGCGGCGACGACUGGCGCGCCCAGCUCCUGCCCGAGGCGCGCAGCAGGGUCGUCAACAAGAUAAUGGAAUGUCUGAAGAAGCAUCUGCCGGUAUCAGUGCCAGAGGGACUGAACGAACUUCAAAUCAUCGCGGUGCGGUUCGAAGAUAAGAUCUAUACUGCAGCGACCAGCCAGUCUGAUUAUUUGCGGAAGAUCUCUCUGAAAAUGCUAUCUAUGGAGACGAAGGCACAACAGGCCCCUGGAAAUGCUCAAGUGAUUCCAAAUCUAAACAACCCCGGUCAAGCAUCAUGUUUAAGAAUGCCCGACGGAACCCCCUGGCGGCCCAUCCAGGGUUCAGACCCCGCUGCAGUCGCCGCUGCUGCCGGCGUUGAUCCGAACGCCCCGCCCCUCACCGGAGGCGAUUGGCGCCCCCAGCUUCAGCCUGAGGCGCGCAGCAGGAUCGUCAAUAAGAUAAUGGAAUGCCUGAAGAAGCAUCUGCCAGCUGUAUCAGUGCCAGAGGGACUGAACGAACUUCAAAAAAUCGCUGUGCGAAGCGAAGAGAAGAUCUAUACAGCAGCGACCAGCCAGUCUGAUUAUUUGCGGAAGAUUUCUCUGAAAAUACAAUCUAUGGAGAAGAACACAUAACAGGCUCCUGGAAAUGCUCAACAAAUCAAAACAACCCCGGUCAAGCCACCCUCUCCAGCAUCAUGUAUAAGGAUUUUGCAUCUAACUUGUGUGUCAUGUGUCCGUAGUUAUUGAACCCGGAGCGGCGAUUGACAUGAUGCAUAAGCUGACGAUUAUCGUGAUACUGAGUUCGCUAGUGGGUAUGAUGACUAGUGUAUUCUCAAUUGGCUGUUCGUGUGAGGAUGACGUCUCGCUGUGCUCGAGUGUGAUGUAUGUUUUGUCUGCCAAAUGAGGAAGUUGUGCUUGUUCCCUUAGUUUCAUCACUCUCCGUGCUCGAGUGUGAUGUAUGUUUCCUCUGCCAAAUGAGGAAGUUGUGCUUGUUCCCUUAGUGCCAUCGAGGUGCCAUGUAAUAAGUUAGACAUUGUGUAAGACUAUGUUGUUUAAUGUAUGGAAUUUCUGUAUCGACCGUGCUUCCUAGCUUUGAAUGAUCCUGGGGCUAGUGAGUCGACAAAAUGGAAUGGAUUAAUAAUUCGAAGCUGAUAAUGUUUAAAC